GCUUGCUUCCAGGACUAGAUCUUCGCUUUGAGUGACUCUUGGCAGAAAAAGAAGACAGCAGGCUGACAUGAAAAGGCACCCAGUGGACAGCUGAGAGACUUGUACCCUUGACCAAACUUUGCCGUUUUUCUUCCUGGGCUUUGGCUUUUCCGUCUGUUCCAUGGAAGGGCUGGGUUUCUGUAAUGCUAUGAAUGCCUGUGAGACACUCACUAUUGAGGGUUGAGAACUUCAAGCUUCCCUGGAUUUUCUUGGAGAUCCUCAUUUUGUUUUCAUUUUGUUUCAAGAGUUUUCAAGACUUAGAGAGUCAUUUCACCAUCUGAGAAAUGGCCCCACUAACCCGUGGAGUCAUCUAGUUGUCAGGCAAGAAAUAUGACGAGAUUCCCUCGACUCAAAGUGGUGGGCUCAUCACGGUACAUCUACCUCUGUGCUCCGCCCAGCACUCCUGAGCUGGUGGAGGAGUUCCAUUGCCAGCUGUCUAGGACCUCUUGAGUGUGACUUGUCACUCAGCUCAUAGCUGAAUCCCUCCCUAGGAGCUACCCAUGGACAGGGGAACCUGCCUCCCCCAAUAUCACACCCCCAUCUGAAGGCUGUCUGCUCCAAAUAACGAGCCUGUUGCGGGAGGGGGGUGAACUGCAAAGUCAAGCUCCUGACCCCACACUCAGCUCGUCCUCACAGGACCAGGCAGCACGGAGCCCGUGCCACAGACUGCAUACAUUACACACGUCUUGACCCAGGGGCUCUGCAACGGUCAGAAACCAUAGCUUCAUGCACACACAGAAACACACACACACCCCACCUGAAGCUUCCCCUCAACCCCCGGCCCAUGGACCCGCUAAGAAGAGGUCCCAGAGUUGCCAGAUCUGCCAAAGCCUUAAAUAUAGGGGAUUUUAGGAAAAUCUCCCAAGGGUCAGCAGCUAAUUCACAUAAAUGUCUCGAAAUAGCAUAUAUGUUAACAGAACCUUGCCAGCAAGCUACCCCUGGGCCUAUGCUAUCAAUCAUUUUACAAUUUAAUGAAGGCGUUUUGUAAGUUUUUUUCUGAUGCUGAUGACUCUAACAUACCUAUUCCAGCUUCUACAGACCUUUUCUGACCAGCCUCAAGCUUCCAGUCAGGCAUACCAAGGGCAAAGCCUCCUGGGUUGUUACUGAGAAAGAUCGGGGUAAGGAAUUGGGGGCUGGGAGACACUCCAUCGGCUGCACCUCAUCUGUGCAGACUGAGCUCCUAGGUGGAGCGGGUUAGGAGCUCAGCUUCCUCCUCUGUAAUCUGGAGAGUGCCAGGCUUGUGAGACCAAAGAGACAUCCUCUGCUGGACUGGUGUUUGUGAAGUCCCGGGUGGCUCCUGGGACAGAGGGGAGUCGAUAGAUGGUAGUCACAGGACCAGUGUAGUUUGCGUGACCCCAUGCAAAAUAAAGAUGAGAGAUCAGAUUUUGAAAAACUUAUUCAAAAUUUCAAUAUAGUGACAGUAGAAUAGGAAGGGCUUCCCUGAUGGCUCAGUGGGAAAGAAUCCGCCUGCCAAUGCAGAAGACACAGGAGAAGCAGGUUUGAUCCCCCUGGGUCGGGGAGGUCCACUAGAGAAGGAAAUGGCAACCUGCUUCAGUGUUCUUGCCUGGGAAAUCCCACGCGCAGAGGAGCCUGAUGGGCUAUAGUUCAUGGGGUUGCAAAGAGUUGGACUCGACUUAGUGACUAAAUAACAAGAAUAUGAAACCAAGCCAUGGCUCUGCUAAGUGUUCGACCGUACGAGGCUGUACGAGGCUUCUAGACCCAUGCGGUCAUCAGACCUAACAGUUGAGAACGUACUGGGUACUGGGUACCAUUCUAAGUGCCUGUCAUGUUUAUAUGGACUCUUCAAAGUGGGUUAGCUAUGUUCCCAUUUAACAGGUGAGGAAAAUGAGGCACAGAGGGGCUAAACCACUUGUUUACCAUCAUGUAGCUCAAGAGAGGCAGAGCUAGAGUUGGCUGUCUGGUCCUGAAGCCGUCCUGUUUUGGACUUGAACUGGGAGCUCUGUCCAAGUAGGAUGGAGGAUCUGGAACUCCCUGGGCCCAUGCAUAGUGGCCAGGACCAGAAUCUUCUCCCACAGAAUCUUCUGCCACACAAGUGGCAGGACAGGUCCUCCCAGACACACUGCCAGCGCCAUGCUGCGCUGAGAGGUCUGGGACCCAGAGGGGAAGGGAUGGAGUUCACAUGAGGACACUCAGAGCCGAGGCCUCCGCAGGACUGAAAGCACUGGGCUUUAUUCUUCGAUCCAAACUGUGGAUCAGGGCUGAUCAGCCUCAGGGUCAUUACUCACAUUACAGCUGAGGGCUGACUCAGCACUUUCCGAACCCACCCUGAUAACAGAUCCUCCUCAUCCAAUGCCACUUAGAGUUUCCAGGGAAUGGGGCUGGGGCGGCUUAGGCAACUUGAGGCUGCGGCAAACUCUCUGGUCUGCCUCUGAGUCACAAUGGUGCUUUUCUGUGGCUUAUCCUGCCAGGGGGCAGCACCUGAGUGGUCCCACUUGUCCAAGUCAUCUCAAGAAUUCAGGAUUUUACACUGUAAGACAAAGGAUGACAUGUCAGUAAUAUCUGUGAAAAUGAGAAAAAUGGAGCAAAGAUAUAUCCCACUGUGAAU
rnacentral:lncRNA from 1 species